AUUGAACGCUGGCGGCACGCCUAACACAUGCAAGUCGAGCGGCAGCGCGAUAUGUAGCAAUACAUAUUGGCGGCGAGCGGCGGACGGGUGAGGAACACGUAGGAACCUACCCUCGAGUGGGGGAUAACCAAGGGAAACUUUGGCUAAUACCGCAUGAUUUCGAGAGAGCAAAGCUGCCGCAAGGUGGCGCUCGAGGAGGGGCCGGCGUCCGAAUAGCUAGUUGGUGAGGUAAGAGCUCACCAAGGCGAUGAUCGGUAACUGGUCUGAGAGGACGACCAGUCACACUGGGACUGAGACACGGCCCAGACUCCUACGGGAGGCAGCAGUGGGGAAUAUUGGACAAUGGGGGCAACCCUGAUCCAGCGAUGCCGCGUGAGUGAAGAAGGCCUUCGGGUCGUAAAGCUCUUUAGGUUGGGAAGAAGAGUGAUGGAGGAAAUGCUAUCACUUUGACGGUACCGACAGAAUAAGCACCGGCAAACUCUGUGCCAGCCGCCGCAGUAACAC
rnacentral:rRNA from 1 species